ACUCAAAGGAAUUGACGGGGGCCCGCACAAGCGGUGGAGCAUGUUGUUUAAUACGUCACUAACCGUAGAACCUUACCAGGGCUUGACAUCUGCCGACAACCCAUGAAAGUGGGCCUUCCUCGCAAGAGGACGGCAAGACAGGUGUUGCAUGGCUGUCGUCAGCUCGUGUCGUGAGAUGUUGGGUUAAGUCCCGCAACGAGCGCAACCCUCACCCCAUGUUGGCAGCGCGUGAUGGCGGCAACUCUUGGGGAACUGCCUUCGCAAGAGGGAGGAAGGUGGGGAUGACGUCAAGUCAGCAUGGCCCUUACGCCCUGGGCUACAAACAUGCUACAAUGGACGGUCAGACAAAGCGACCCGAGACCGUAAGGUGGAGGCAAUCGCAAAAAUCCGUUCCCAGUUCGGAUCGCAGGCUGCAACUCGCCUGCGUGAAGUCGGAAUCGCUAGUAACCGCCGAUCAGCCAAGCGGCGGUGAAUACGUUCCCGGGCCUUGUACACACCGCCCGU
rnacentral:rRNA from 1 species